UACGGGGGGGGCAAGCGUUGUUCGGAAUUACUGGGCGUAAAGGGCGCGUAGGCGGCCUGCUAAGUCGGAUGUGAAAUCCCUCGGCUCAACCGAGGAACUGCAUCCGAUACUGGCGGGCUUGAAUCCGGGAGAGGGAUGUGGAAUUCCGCGUGUAGCAGUGAAAUGCGUAGAUAUGCGGAGGAACACCGAUGGCGAAGGCAAUCCCCUGGGCCUGCACUGACGCUCAUGCACGAAAGCGUGGGGAGCAAACAGG
rnacentral:rRNA from 1 species